GAGCGCAGCGGCCAGCCUAGCCAUAGUUAGUGGGUGUGUGUGUGAUAGAGGGAGGGAGAAGCCACUGUCUCGUCACAGCCAGCGAUGCCGAUCAUCGACCUCGCCCCGCAUAUGGAGCAGGAGGUCGGGGACGUCGCAGCCGCCCGGGUCGCGCGCGCCUGGUGCAUGACUUGGCCCACCUCCUCCUCGACCCCUUUCUAUAAAUCAGUACGGCCGGUACACAACCAUCUCCUCCACCAUGUUUCCUAGCAAAAACCAAACACCCUCUUCUUUCGCGUGGGUUUCCCUUUUCCUUUCGGCCAUGGCCGUUGGGUGGUGUCGUAGAGGUGAUGCAGUUGGGGGUGAAGCAUGGCGAGCGAGACAGGCGCCGGCCGGGUGCGCGCGGUGACAGAAGAGAGUGAGCACACAGCCGGGCAGGACGGCACCCGGCGGGCGGUGCCGUCGCGGCUGCGUGCUCGCUACUCUAUCUGUCACCCAGCUGCCUUCUUCGGGUUUCCGUCGACGCCCGGCCGGCCCUCCUCUCUCCGCCGUGCACAACCCCCCUCGGCCGAUCUCACUGCAUCUGCAUGUCCCCCUCGCGCUCAUCCGUUGGCCUUGUAGGUAGCGCCGUACUAGCUGGCGGUUUUCCCUCUCUUGCCUCGUACGUCGCCCGCCGUUCAUCUUUCCCGAGGAGAGCCUGCCCUAUUCCGCCUUUUCUGCUGCACUUUCUUGGGAAGGAGAUGGGAUAUUCAUUGCGCCAUUGACGCAUCUCGGAACGCACGCAGGAGCGACACCUCGCACGCGGGAAUCUACACCUGUAGUACCCCAUGGGUACAGUUCCACGAAGCACCAGAGUUCACAUGCAACUCGACUGGAUACAGGAGCAAGCAUGAGGUUUAAUUUGAUGUGCUGGAUGCAUGGAUAGCAUCGAUCCACGCAGAUCUGCUUGCUGCUGCGGCUGCCAAUUUCCAUUAUCAUCCGGUCAGUUAUCUUCUGCUGUCUCCUGUCCUUUCUGUUCUUCAGAAUUACUACUGCGAGGCUCGCUAGCUAGCUAGCUGGGUAUUGAAAGUAUGAGUAAUGGUGCAACGAUCCCUUGUCCCCCAGCUGUGGCUCCACAAAUGUAGGAUAUACUGUUGGGUCACUGUUCCAUUCAUGGCGAUGGUACCUGCCAUCGUCACAAUCCCUCGCCCCACUUGCACCUUUGACUCCAGCUUGGGCCGGGCUUACUGUGCUCAGAAAGAAACUUCAACUGAAACUGUUUCUAGUGGAUCGAUCAUACUGUAUAUGACUAGCAGAGUUGCAUGUAAACAAAACUGAUGGAUUUUCUCAAUUUUUUUUCUGAAGGAGCCUGAAAUUUUGGUUUAGGAGACUUAAUAAGAUGGGAUGUAACUAGUGUGCAUGCAAAUUAAGUUCAUUCUGUGGAUCUUAGUCCUGGAGAUUUUGCAGAUAAUGAAAUUUGUCAUGCUAUUGUUUCAUUUGUUGAUAUAAGUUAUUAUAGGGAUUCUGGCUAUUCUUUUCUUUGGAGAAGUUUCCUGUGAAAAAAAGUCAUCGAUAGUACACACAAGCUCACCAAAUCCCUGGUUUUCCAUUUCCGGUAGGUCUCUGCUUUCUAGGCAGAUGCACUCAUUGUUGACUUUUUAAAUUGAAAAUAAGAGCCAGACUUCUUAUGGUGAACUUCUAACUUUGACCUAACUCUUUUUUUCAAUAUUUCAUGCUUUAUGUUCAUGUAGUUAGAAAGUGACAUGUCUAAUUAGUAUGCUAUUGUUGAAACAUGCUCCGUAAGAAUUGUAGUUAUCUUCCUGCGGUAAAUAGACAACUGCAGUUAGUAAAUGCAUAUUGCCUUUGAAAGUUUUGGAGUAGUUUGACCACACCCUACAUAUGCAAAACUCGAUUCUCUUCAGGUUGUUCUCCAUUAGUCUCCUGUUAUCAUCAAAUUAGCCUUGUGCAUGAUUCUUGCAUGCAUACAUUUGAAGUUUGGCACUUAGUAAUUUUGUAUAUUACUUUAAGUUUCAUGCAUAACGUUUGUGUGACCCUGAUUAUCUCUCUUUGUGUGUUCUGCCUGCAAGUAUGUUUAUACACCAACUUAGCUGCAUCUCUAGUGCCUAACAAGAGAAAUUACCCAUCACACUGUCAAUUGUAAUGGAAUAUGUUUAUAGUUCAUGUUUGAAGCUUACAGAAUAUACACUAGGGGGUAAGAUGAACUUUCACACUGAUGCUGAUCCCCAAUGUAUUCCUCACUGAAAUAGUUUUUUCUAAGCUAGGAAAGGCUGAACCUACAUUGAGGUUCUAAAAUUAUGUUGACCUACAAAGUUUCAUGCUGAUAUGUCUUGCCGUUUAGGAGAAACAAAAAAAAGGCUCUAUGAAUUUUAUAUUCAUAUACUCCAUCCGUCCCAUGAAACAUGUCUUAACUUUCUGUAAAAUUGGAUGUAUAUAGCCUCUAUUUAGUGUCUAGAAACUCCUAAAUUUAGACAAAUUAGUUAAGACAUGUUUCAUGGAACGCAGGGACUAUAUUUUUACACCUGUAUUUCUAUAUGGGCCACAUACUAUAAUUUGUUCAUCUAAUUCUUUUUUUAAUUGUUUGACAUAGUAUAAUGCUGUAAUAGACUCGUGAUUUUUUUAAAACUAUAAUACCCCUAAAGAUAUGUCCAAAGUAGUGGGUGUACCUAUAUCAGGGCUCAAUCACAACUCCCAUUAUAGAAUAUAGAUAGCGACUAAUGACCGGAAUUUUAAUACGGCUCCCUCGUGCAUAUGCUCUCACCACCCAAAAAAACAUAUUUUUAAUUGUCAACGAAAUUCAACAAAAAUAUUCGCUUGUACAUCUCGACAAUCUUUGUGUGUGUUCGUACAGUUUCACGAAAAGCCAAUAUUUUUUGUGGUCGGCAUAAAAAAGACAACACAUGUCACACAAACAGCAUUAUUUUCAUCCCCAAAUAUUGUCUUUUUACACAACUCAAACGACAAAUGAUUUUUUCACGAAAGACCUUGUGCGCAUAUAGCAUGUGAAGAUGUACACGUGAAUUUUUUGUUUGGAUUUUUUUAAUAUUUCAAAAUAUAUCAAGGAUACAUUUCAAAAUAAUGGGAGCAUAUGAACCCAAAAGAUAAGACAUCACUCUUGAGAUGAAAUGCACGGCAUGGCAGGUUUGAGGCAACCGAGGGUUAAAUUUAAAAGAAAAACCAAGGGGAAUAUUUGACUUUCAGAGUUUCAGUAAGUAGUGGAAACUUAAACCCAUGAUCAUGUCACAAUCAUUGUUCACUUCACUAGGUUGCAUUGGCACAAUACUACCAAUCUGAGGCUAUUGUGCCCCCACUGUGGAGUCUAUGCUAAAUCCAGUACAUUAGUUUUGUUAUUAUUGCCUCAAUAAAGAUGUUUCUAGUUAGCAAAUUUAUAUGCCCAGAAUUUCGAACAAACUAAUUGCUUUUUAAAAGCUACCACGAUGCCAAGCAAAUUCUAGAUUCUUAGUGUGUCACUCGAGGAUUCUUUAGAUUCAUAGAUUUCUUAUUUUACAUCACAGAAUUAAUACUGCAUUCUUUUUGGACGAGGCAUUUUGAAAUGACUUUUAAACAUAGUUCAAAAUGUCAAAAAUCUAAAUUAAAAAUUGACGCGGACAUCUCAACAUUAUAUGUGCUCAUAAAGUCGUCUUGUGGAAAAUCGAUGUUUUUUGUGUCGUGUGGAAAAAUAUGUGUUUUGGUGCUUAAAAAAAGCUUUUCACAAGACAUUUCUUUAUCCUUUUCAUAAAAGACACAAAAAAUGUUAAUUUUUCGCGAAACUUGGCGUGCAUACAUUAAUGUUGACAUAUACGCGCUAAUUUUUUGUUCAGAUUUUUUUAUACUUUAAAAUGUUUUCUUGGGUACCAGGAGCAUAUGCUUCCAAGUUCAAAAGUGGUCUUCUGAUUCUUUUAUAUUCAGUAAGUUUGAACAGCACAACAUGAUGCAUGUACUCUAGGUGCAUGGAUGCAUAUAAGCUAUGUCUUGGAAGGCAUUCCAACACAUGUGAUCACAGAAAGGAAUCAAGCUAGCGUAUCCUCUUGUUAGCAGUUACAAUCUGAAAUAAAUCUGUAGGUGCGAUUGCACUAUUGAGUCACACUACAUAUAUUGGAUCUUAUUCUUGUUGACAAAUUCAUGUAUUUAAGUACAAUAGGUCUAUAGCUAUAGCUGCGCAUUAAGCUGGACGCAUAUGAUUGGUCAAGUAGCUGGACGCAGUUGAUUCACAAUUGCAACGAAUCAACAGGGGGUAAAAUUGGUAAAUGAGAUUCAAGUAAUGCAUGAUAAAAAAUUCUUUUGUGUAGUGGAUUGUAUUUAAUUUGGGACAAAAUUUUGUUUGAAUUUCAGCUAUACAUAUAUAGGUGUAUAUAGCCUUAAUUAUUUUUGAAACACAAGGCAAAAGCUUUGCCCGUUCCAUUGGUUAAGAAGAUAAUUGCCGGUUAAUUACGAAAAACCGAGGAACCUGGUAUAGCUCUGUGUGAAACGGUGAAAUGUUCUGGCCAAGUAGUAGAGAUUUUGGCAGCUGCUUUGGUUUAAAUGUGAUGGUUAUGUUUAUGUACAUCCUCAUUCCUCAGUCUUCUGAGCAGAAAUCAAUCAUUUGUGCUAAAGGUAGGCAGAUGGGAAUGCCAACCUGACAGUUGGCAUAUCAUUUUAUAUUUUUGGUUACUUUUUUUGCAACUAUCUAUUCCUGAUUAGGUUAUUUAAGAAGUAAUAAUGUGCAUUUUAAGAUGAAGCACACUAAUUAUCCAAGAAAAGUAUGCUUUCUAUCUGUUAAAACUAUUAACAAUACUGCAUCUUUUGAAAUUUGUCUACUCUGGAUACAGAACUUCAUGCAUUCAAAAAAAGACAGUAGGUACCACGUCUACAUAAAAUUUGUUACGCAUAUGUACACCAUUUUACAUGCAUAAAAAAUGUAAUACUUGAAUAAUUAAGAGUUGUCAAAAAAAAUUAGAAGGCAAUAAGUAAUGGGUGCAGAUUAUAUGCAAUUGACUAAUUAAAGAUAUUGGAUGGCUUAUACAAUAGAAAGUAUCUUAUUCUGACUUGUGAUUUUCGUGUUGGAGACAGGUAAAUUGGUAUUUUUUUCUCAUUGUCAAUUUUUGUGUUCAAAAGUUAUGAAAUUAAGUUUUUCACUUUUCCUCUCCCCAUCUCCUUUGUUAAGUUAGGCUUCGGCGGCUCUAUUUUGCUUCUCCUGUACAUCAAUAUAAAAGGUAAAUCUUUUGUCUCGUUUAAAAAAAUAAUAAAGGAGACAUGCGAGUGUUCUUAUUGCUGGAUCCAGCCAAUGAAGAUCAGACCGAGGCUUAGUGCACAGAAAAAAGCAACAUCGCUCAAUUUUGUUGCCAAGGUCGCACCGGCAUAGGUUAAACACUCCAAAGGGCAAAGGAGCUGCUCAAGGCCGAGGGGGUUGAGGGGAGGCCAUGUGACUAGGGUUGAGAGAGGAGUAUGAGAGAGGUGUGUAGAGUUCUUUGAGUUAGCUUGCAACAUAUGCGUCCCUAGCUUCUUGUAAAAACCCUUAGAAACUUCGAUACGUAUGUUAGGAGAUUGGGUUAUUUUUUCUAAUGUAGGCCAGGUAGAGCCAAUGCACGGACAUUGAUCUUGUUUGAAGAUGCGCUGUGUUUUUUUUUUCGAAAUGAGGGAUAUAUCUCCAGGCUUUGUAUCAAAGUGAUGCAUACAGCCUUAUUACUUAUAGAAGAUGGACUGUGUAUGCGUACAUGGUGUUAUAUACAAUGAUGGGUCGAGCUAUCAACAAUCAAAGCAGUCACACUCUGGAGCCACGGCCGAUCACUGAUCGUUGAUGCCAUGCGUUUACAUUUUGAGAUACAACGGCAAAAGCUCAGUAUCAUGCCUCACUAUCAACACAUAUAGAGAAUAUAGAGAUUUUAACGAAAGCAGCUAGCACUGCGUUCAUUUAUAUAGAGAGAACAAAGAUGAAACCAAAUUCAGAUACUAAAACAUAUUGGUGCAGGAACCCUGAUUACAACAGCAGGGAGCAUGGAGAAUAUGGAGAUUGAAAUAUAGGCGGAUCUAGCAAAUUGUCAUACUUGUGUG